ensembl:lncRNA
UUCAGACCCGCCGUGCAGGCGCAGCGCUUAAAAAUUCUGCGGGAUUUAGAUUUGGGUGGCCCUCCUAAAGUGCACAUCUCGCCUUCCUGAGGAACCCUCUGGCACCGUCCUCCGCUGGGGAAUUGAACACAGCACCAGCCCUCUUCACAGUCACUGGCUGUAUCAUCCGGCUUGUUUUUACGACCUUGUCUCUUCUUUGUGCCCUUGCAUCUGUUUCCCUGGAUUCAGGGAAGAGAUAAGUAAGAGCUUUAUGGGACAGCAGAGAAGUAAGAGUGAGUGAUGUGGAAUGAAUGAAGUCUGCAUCCUGCUUGGCUCAUUACAGUGAUGUCUAGUUUGUUACACCAUACUUAACCAAGGCUCACACUGUCAAGCAGCGGGAAUCAGAAUCCACAACGGAAAACAACUAUCACAAGCCCUGAAGCGGAAAAAGAUUAGAGCUGGAGCAGGCGAUGAGAAGACAUGGUAGUAUUCAGGGAGAACCUAAACUAUCAUUCAGAAAUGGAGGGAAAAGAGAUAUGAGGAGAAAAAGAAAAGAAGAGAAAAAAACAACAACAACAACAGCUGGAAAACUGUAAACAACUUUAGAGGCAAGUAGAAUAAAUGUCCACAUAAUAAUCAGAAAUAUCAUGUUGAUUUUUUAUUUAUUUAUUUUUUUUGUUUACUGUGUAUAUCUUAAUAUCCA